GAGUUUGAUCAUGGCUCAGAUUGAACGCUGGCGGCAUGCCUUACACAUGCAAGUCGAACGGCAGCACAGGAGCUUGCUCCUGGUGGCGAGUGGCGAACGGGUGAGUAAUGCAUCGGAACGUAUCCUGGAGUGGGGGAUAACGUAGCGAAAGUUACGCUAAUACCGCAUAUUCUGUGAGCAGGAAAGCGGGGGACCUUCGGGCCUCGCGCUCUUGGAGCGGCCGAUGUCGGAUUAGCUAGUUGGUGAGGUAAAGGCUCACCAAGGCGACGAUCCGUAGCAGGUCUGAGAGGAUGAUCUGCCACACUGGAACUGAGACACGGUCCAGACUCCUACGGGAGGCAGCAGUGGGGAAUUUUGGACAAUGGGGGCAACCCUGAUCCAGCCAUGCCGCGUGAGUGAAGAAGGCC
rnacentral:rRNA from 1 species